rnacentral:lncRNA from 1 species
UUCAAGAGAAAUAGAAAUCAGAAUCCCCUAAGGACCAAUCAUGGGAAUUUAGUUACACAUAGUAUAAGAAAACAUUACAAUCAAAGAAAUGAGAGAAAUCAUGUUUACAAGAUGAUCUUGAUGUGUUUCCACACUUCAAUCCUUGCCUCCAAGCUCCUAGAUCUUCAAAAGUUGUUCAAUUUGAUGUUUCCAAUGUCAAUUUUCGAUCCAUCAUCUCAGAUCUGCCUUUUCCUUUUAUAACCGGAGUCAAUAAAUGAGAAUUUCGCCUCAGGCACGAGCAUUUUCGCCCCAGGCACAGAAUUUUCGCUUGAGGCGCCAACAUUUUCGCCCCAGGCAAACAGGCAAAC